AUACAUACCUGGCAGGGGCAAUACCAUGGUCAAGGAGGUGGUUUGCCCAAAGUGAGGCUCAGCCAUUGCAAUCGGUGUCACCGAACUAAACUGAACUAAAAUUCCCCAAAUGCGAGAAUCUUGACUGUACCAUUUGAUUGUGACAGUAGUGGCACAAG